rnacentral:lncRNA from 1 species
UGUAGGAUAUGGAUAAUAGGCUUAAACUUUUGAGUUUGGUACGUCUUUGUUCUUCUGUUAUACUCUUCCUUCCAUAUCACUUUUUCUCUAAUAUUGGGUACUAGAGAGUUUUCUUAUUUUUGGUCAUAUUCGUUUCUUUCUCAUUUUUUUUGAAAAUGUCAUGUUUCUGACAUCUUAUUUUUCUCUCUUUCUUUUUCUUUUCAUGUAACCAAUUUCUCUAGUACCCUCAACCUCAAACUUAAAUACUGCUAACUUUC